rnacentral:rRNA from 1 species
AGUGAACGCUGGCGGUAGGCCUAACACAUGCAAGUCGAACGGCAGCACAGUAAGAGCUUGCUCUUACGGGUGGCGAGUGGCGGACGGGUGAGGAAUACAUCGGAAUCUACUUUUUCGUGGGGGAUAACGUAGGGAAACUUACGCUAAUACCGCAUACGACCUACGGGUGAAAGCAGGGGAUCUUCGGACCUUGCGCGAUUGAAUGAGCCGAUGUCGGAUUAGCUAGUUGGCGGGGUAAAGGCCCACCAAGGCGACGAUCCGUAGCUGGUCUGAGAGGAUGAGCAGCCACACUGGAGCUGGGACACGGUCCAGACUCCUACGGGAGGCAGCAGUGGGGAAUAUUGGACAAUGGGCGCAAGCCUGAUCCAGCCAUACCGCGUUGGUGAAGGAGGCCUUCGGGUUUUAGAGCCCUUUUGUUGGGAAAGAAAAGCAGCAGGUUAAUACCCCGCUGUUCUGACGGUACCCAAAGAAUAAGCACCGGCUAACUUCGUG